UGACUGUGCAGGCAAAUUGGUGAAGAUGU
rnacentral:piRNA from 1 species